rnacentral:rRNA from 1 species
ACGAACGCUGGCGGCGUGCUUAACACAUGCAAGUCGAACGGAAAGGCCCUGCUUUUGUGGGGUGCUCGCGUGGCGAACGGGUGAGUAACACGUGAGUAACCUGCCCUUGACUUUGGGAUAACUUCAGGAAACUGGGGCUAAUAUCGGAUAGGAGCUCCUGCUGCAUGGUGGGGGUUGGAAAGUUUCGGCGGUUGGGGAUGGACUCGCGGCUUAUCAGCUUGUUGGUGGGGUAGUGGCUUACCAAGGCUUUGACGGGUAGCCGGCCUGGGAGGGUGACCGGCCACAUUGGGACUGAGAUACGGCCCAGACUCCUACGGGAGGCAGCAGUGGGGAAUAUUGCACAAUGGGCGGAAGCCUGAUGCAGCAACGCCGCGUGCGGGAUGACGGCCUUCGGGUUGUAAACCGCUUUCGCCUGUGACGAAGCGUGAGUGACGGUAAUGGGUAAAGAAGCACCGGCUAACUACGUG